AUUACGUGCGUGCGUGUGUGCGUGCAUGUCAUUGCACUUAGUUUUGCUCCUGAGUGCUGGAGGUUUGAAUUUAGGUCCUUAGGUUUGCAACGCAAGAUUUUUACCAACUGAACCACAUCUCUGGUCCUACUUUCCAGUUGGAGACAGAGAUGCUAAGUUGGUCCUGGCUCCCAUGAAGCCCCUGUCAGAAGCGAGUCUCACUUUUCACCUACUAUGUGUGCUAUAUUCCCUCUGAUUACUUCCGCUCUAUACUCAUCCUGUGCUCAGUAGAAUAUCAGGCAGUGUGGGGGAGAGAGCAGCCUAGAGCUCUGCCUGGCUCUGGUCCUCUCCCGUUUGCCUGGCACCCAUGCGGUGGACAGCCAGGCCAGGAACGGGGACAGAGGUGCCACUGGGACUGCUCUGCCACAGAUCUACUCCCACCUGCGUUCUUACACCGUCCCGCGAGAGCAGCGC
rnacentral:lncRNA from 1 species